rnacentral:rRNA from 1 species
CCUACGGGUGGCAGCAGUGAGGAAUAUUGGUCAAUGGACGCACGCCUGAACCAGCCAUGCCGCGUGAGGGAAGACGGCCCUAUGAGUUGUAAACCGCUUUUAUACGAGGGUAACCGCAGAUACGUGUAUCUGUCUGAAAGUAUCCUACGAAUAAGGAUUCGCCAACCCCGGGCCAGCAGCCGCCGUAAUACGGAGGGGUCAAGCGUUAUUCGGAUUUAUUGGGUUUAAAGGGUGCGUAGGCGGUCGGAUAAGUUAGAGGUGAAAUCCCGAGGCUCAACUUCGGAAUUGCCUCUGAUACUGUGCGGCUAGAGAGUAGUUGCGGUAGGCGGAAUGUAUGGUGUAGCGGUGAAAUGCGUAGAGAUCAGACAGAACACCGAUUGCGAAGGCAGCUGACCAAGCUACUUCUGACGUUGAGGCACGAAAGCGUGGGGAGCAAACAGGAUGAGAUACCCUGGUAGUC